GGUGGCUUAGUGGUAGAGUGCUUGCCUAGCAUGCAUGAAGCCCUGGGUUCAAUUCCUUGGAACCA
rnacentral:tRNA from 1 species